rnacentral:siRNA from 1 species
AGAUAACGUUUGGGUGAUUUUGCU